CCUACGGGAGGCAGCAGUGGGGAAUAUUGGGCAAUGGGCGCAAGCCUGACCCAGCAACGCCGCGUGAAGGAAGAAGGCCCUCGGGUUGUAAACUUCUUUUGUCAGGGACGAAACAAAUGACGGUACCUGACGAAUAAGCUACGGCUAACCACGGGCCAGCAGCCGCGGUAAUACGUAGGUGGGAAGCGUUAUCCGGAGUUACUGGGUGUAAAGGGCGUGUAGGCGGGAGAGCAAGUCAGGUGUGAAAUUCCAGGGCUCAACCCUGGAACUGCAUUUGAAACUGUUUUUCUUGAGUGAUGGAGAGGCAGGCGGAAUUCCGUGUGUAGCGGUGAAAUGCGUAGAUAUCCGGAGGAACACCAGUGGCGAAGGCGGCCUGCUGGACAUUAACUGACGCUGAGGCGCGAAAGCGUGGGGAGCAAACAGGAUUAGAUACCCCGGUAGUC
rnacentral:rRNA from 1 species